GAGUUUGAUCCUGGCUCAGAUUGAACGCUGGCGGAAUGCUUUACACAUGCAAGUCGGACGGCAGCACGGGGGCAACCCUGGUGGCGAGUGGCGAACGGGUGAGUAAUACAUCGGAACGUGCCCAGUCGUGGGGGAUAACGUAGCGAAAGCUACGCUAAUACCGCAUACGAACUCUGGUUGAAAGCGGGGGAUCGCAAGACCUCGCGCGAUUGGAGCGGCCGAUGGCAGAUUAGGUAGUUGGUGGGGUAGAGGCUCACCAAGCCGACGAUCUGUAGCUGGUCUGAGAGGACGACCAGCCACACGGGGACUGAGACACGGCCCCGACUCCUACGGGAGGCAGCAGUGGGGAAUUUUGGGCAAUGGCCGCAAGGCUGACCCAGCGACGCCGCGUGCGGGAGGAAGCCCUUCGGGUGUAAACCGCUGUCAGGGGGACGGAAGUCCUU
rnacentral:rRNA from 1 species